rnacentral:rRNA from 1 species
GGCGUGGCUCGGUGGAUGCUUCCAUUUAUUCUUUAGGCUCAACGGGGUGCUGUCCUUCGGGGUGGUACUAUCGUUCCUAAUCGUUUACUGUGAACAAAUUAGAGCGUUCAAAGCAGGUGUCUCUGCCUUGAAUAGUUAGCAUGGAUAAUGAAAUAGACUUCGUUUAUUUUGUUGUUCUAAAGCUGGGUAUGAUAAUAGGGACAGUGGGGUCGGUCGUAUUGAAUCGUCAGAGGUGAAAUUCUAGGAUUGAUUCAAGACGAACUGAUGCGAAAGCGUCCGACAAGGAUGUUUCCGUUAAUCAAGAACGAAAGUUGGGGGAUCGAAGAUGAUCAGAUACCGUCGUAGUCCUAACCCUAAACGAUGUGGACCAAGGAUCCGAGGAUGUUGUAUGGAUGACUCUCCGGGCACUUUGUGAGAAAUCAUUGAGUAUUUGCACUCCGGGGGGAGUAUGGCCGCAAGACUGAAACUUAAAGGAAUUGACGGAAGGGCACCACCAGGAGUGGAACCUGCGGCUUAAUUCGACUCAACACGGGAAACCUCACCAGGUCCGGACACAGUAAGGAUUGACAGAUUGAGAGCUCUUUCUUGAUUCUGUGGUUGGUGGUGCAUGGCCGUUUUUAGUUGGUGGAUUGAUUUGUCUUGUUAAUUCAGAUAACGAGCGAGACCUCAUCCUGCUAAUUAGUGAUGCGAACGUGGGCCUCUCUUUGGGGGGGUCCUCACCCGUUCGUACGCAACUUCUUAGAGGGACUCUCGG